GAGUAGAGCAGUGGUAGCUCAUUGGGCUCAUAACCCAAAGGUCGUUGGUUCAAAUCCUUCCUCC
rnacentral:tRNA from 1 species